rnacentral:rRNA from 1 species
UACGAAGGGGGCUAGCGUUGCUCGGAAUCACUGGGCGUAAAGCGCACGUAGGCGGCUUUCUAAGUCAGGGGUGAAAUCCUGGAGCUCAACUCCAGAACUGCCUUUGAUACUGGAGAGCUUGAGUCCGGGAGAGGUGAGUGGAACUCCGAGUGUAGAGGUGAAAUUCGUAGAUAUUCGGAAGAACACCAGUGGCGAAGGCGGCUCACUGGCCCGGUACUGACGCUGAGGCGCGAAAGCCAGGGGAGCGAACGGG